rnacentral:rRNA from 1 species
GACGAACGCUGGCGGCGUGCCUAACACAUGCAAGUCAAGGCGGUAGCAAUACCGACUGGCGCACGGGUGCGGAACACGUAGGUAAUCUGCCCUUUAGGGGAGAACAACUCAUCGAAAGGUGAGCUAAAUCUCCGUAAUGUUUUACUAUGGCAUCAUAGUUCAACCAAGUUUUCUAGGAUGAGCCUGCGUCUGAUUAGCUAGUUGGUGAGGUAACGGCUCACCAAGGCACGAUCAGUAGCUGGUCUGAGAGGAUGAUCAGCCACAUUGGGACUGAGACACGGCCCAGACUCCUACGGGAGGCAGCAGUGAGGAAUAAUUGCUCAAUGGACGAAAGUCUGAAGCAGCAACGCCGCGUGAGGGAUGAAGGUGC